rnacentral:rRNA from 1 species
UACGUAGGGGGCAAGCGUUGUCCGGGAUUUAUUGGGCGUAAAGAGCUCGUAGGCGGUUUGGUAAGUCUGGUGUGAAAUCUCCACGCUCAACGUGGAGGGGCCACCCGAUACUGCCAUGACUGGAGUCCGGUAGAGGAGUGUGGAUUCCCGGUGUAGCGGUGAAAUGCGCAGAUAUCGGGAGGAACACCCGUGCGAAGGCGGCACUCUAGGGCC